rnacentral:rRNA from 1 species
GAUGAACGCUGGCGGCGCGCCUAACACAUGCAAGUCGAACGAUUAAAGCACCUUUUAGGUGUGUAUAAAGUGGCGAACGGCUGAGUAACACGUGGGCAACCUGCCCUCCUCUUGGGGAUAGCCUCGGGAAACCGAGGAUAAUACCCGAUACUUCACUUGAGCCGCAUGACUCAAGUGAGAAAGCUUUUACGGAGAAGGAUGGGCCCGCGGCCUGUUAGCUUGUUGGUGGGGUAGAGGCCUACCAAGGCAAUGAUGGGUAGCUGGGUUGAGAGACCGACCAGCCAGAUUGGGACUGAGACACGGCCCAGACUCCUACGGGAGGCAGCAGUGGGGAAUCUUGCACAAUGGGCGAAAGCCUGAUGCAGCGACGCCGCGUGCGGGACGAAGACCUUCGGGUUGUAAACCGCUUUCAGCAGGGACGAGGCGUAAGUGACGGUACCUGCAGAAGAAGCCCCGGCUAACUACGUGCCAGCAGCCGCGGUAAUACGUAGGGGGCAAGCGUUAUCCGGAUUCAUUGGGCGUAAAGCGCUCGUAGGCGGUCUGUUAGGUCGGGAGUUAAAUCCGGAGGCUCAACCUCCGUCCGCUCCCGAUACCGGCAGACUUGAGUUUGGUAGGGGAAGGUGGAAUUCCUAGUGUAGCGGUGGAAUGCGCAGAUAUUAGGAAGAACACCAGUGGCGAAGGCGGCCUUCUGGGCCAUAACUGACGCUGAGGAGCGAAAGCUAGGGGAGCAAACAGG